CAGCAGCCGCGGUAAUACAGAGGGUGCGAGCGUUAAUCGGAUUUACUGGGCGUAAAGCGUGCGUAGGCGGCUUCUUAAGUCGGAUGUGAAAUCCCUGAGCUUAACUUAGGAAUUGCAUUCGAUACUGGGAAGCUAGAGUAUGGGAGAGGAUGGUAGAAUUCCAGGUGUAGCGGUGAAAUGCGUAGAGAUCUGGAGGAAUACCGAUGGCGAAGGCAGCCAUCUGGCCUAAUACUGACGCUGAGGUACGAAAGCAUGGGGAGCAAACAGGAUUAGAUACCCCAGUAGUCCCUGUAUCUUAUAC
rnacentral:rRNA from 1 species